UUGUGCUCCACGUGGCUUCUCUUUUCCCAAGCAUCUUGCUGUCUGGAAAGAAUUUGUGUCUGAGGAUUGUUCUCUGCCAGACCAGACACAAUUGAGAAGAUCUGCGAAGGGUCCGGCUCUCUCUCACCAGGCCACUGUGGGGCACUGGGUACUUUUAUUUUCCCCGUUCCUUUGUCUGGACUAGGGGGUUGAGGGACUGGGUGAGAGGCUGCCUCCCCCACCCCCCUCCCAGCAGGCACAAGUGCAGAGUGGCCCAGUGUCUUUACCUGUACGUGCGCAUGAGGCGUUUAUAGACUUAAUUUUCCAGGUCGGCUCUAGGAGCAUCCGUAAUCCAAGAAUCUCUUGUUAGUUUUAGACCUGAGAAAAGUUGGGUAUCAGUUAGAGUCCAGUUGGGGAACAGAAGCUGCCCUAGUUACUUAAACAGUGAGAAUCUAACAUAAAGAAUAGUUAACCAGGCAUAGCAUUGUCAAUUAGGUCGCUGAAAAGGCAGGAGGAGAACACUAGGUUUUCAUAAACGUAGUAAGGGGCGCCUGGGUGGCCCAGUUGGUUGAGCCUCGGACACUUGUUUCUGGCUCAGGUCAUGAUCUCACCGUUUGUGAGAUCGAGCCCCGCAUCGGGCUCUGUGCUGACAGUGCAGAGCCUGCUUGGGAUCCUCUCUCUCCCUCUCUCUGUGCCCCUCCUCUCCUUGUGCAUGUGUGUGCGUUCUCUCAAAAUAAAAUUAAAUAAAUUGAUAGAUAAAUAAAUACAUAAAUGUAGCCAUCACAGGAGACCCUACCGCCCAUAGGACUUAGGGGGACCAAGGGCGGAAUAUGGAAUUUAUAAAAAUUAGGACCUUGGAGGAUUGGCCUGGUGGACCUGGGGCUCAGAGCUCUGGGGAUAGGACACGACCAGCUGGUGUUAGUGUCUCUGAAGCGGACACUGGGAAGAUUGCUGUGUGGUGUUGGGGAGGACGUGGGCGGGCUGCACUUGCUAUCGGGGGAAGGGACUGCUAUUACCAGGGUGAGGAAACAUUGCUGGGGCCUCCGUCAGAGCCACAGACAGAAGGGGAGCCCAAUGAGGCAAACUUGCAGGAGGUAAAUCCCUUCUUCCACCAUCUUCACCUAGCAGAGCCUCACAUGGAAUCAUCUGGAAAAAAACACAACUUCGGUGCGUGAAACCCUAGCCCCAGCAUCGCAAGGGCGAUUUGAGAGCUGAGAGACCAUAGGCUAAAAUCUGGCACAGAGUGCUUGACUGGAAUAGCAGAGAGAGUCAGGAGCAGACAAGGACAAGUGAGAGACACCCAACCAAUUUUUUUGUUUUGUUUCUCUCUUUGUUUCUUAUUGCUGAUAUUCAAGACUAAUAGGUUUGAUGAUCAACCACCAAGAUGUCAGACUGGCUGCCUGGGGAGGCUUAUGUGGUUCCUGCAUGGUAAGAAGGCCCCAUUCUUGACUACCGGUCUAGAGAGAAGGUUCUGUGGAGGCUGGCGAGGCACAGACGUCUCUGGGGCUGCUCCCCUAACUUGGGAAGGCCAUCAGACUAACUGCAAACAGGAGAGCUGCCGCCCCCUUGUGGACACCUGCGGUUCUGCAGGAGGGUAAUGUGACCUUGCAGUUGGCUGGACUUCACCUGCUCACCUUGAACUCCAGGAAUGACAUGGGAAUUGGCUAGGAAAAGUCAGUUUGAUCCUCUGAUGUCCAUGAGGGAGCUGUCAGCACUGGUUCAUGAUGAUGAUGAUGCCUUUCUUCAAAAGGGAUGAAAGUCUCAACCACUUUCAAUCUGAUCUGAUCCACUGCUCAAAAGAACCUCAUGGCCUCCCUGGCCAGCUAUAGACACCCCAACACCCUAAAAGACAAGCCCAUCUCAUCUAGACAUCUGCUCUGGGUCUUGCCGUGUCCUUUCAAGCAGGGCUGGGGACAGACUUUUUCUGUAAGGGACCCAGAGAGUAGACCCUUGAGGUUUGCAACCAUACUGUCUCUGUCUCAAUGAUCCACUCUGCCAUCGUGGCCGUGGAUGGUAACGGAACAGAAGAGCAGACUGUGUUCAGAUACAACUUUAUUAGUGACACUGACAUUUAAAUUUCACAUGACUGUCGCCUCUCGUGAAAUGUUAUUCUCCUUUUGAUUUUAUGAGAUCGUUUAAAAAUGCGAAAAUCAUUCUUAGGUUGCAAGCCUUCCAAAAACAGGCAGUGGGUUGGACUGGGCCUGUGGCUAAAACUGAUUGACCCUUGAUUUACAGCCUUCAACAGUUUAGGUCCUUAGAUGGUGCCAUUGUGAGCUCAAAUCAUUGAAGCGGCUUCUGCUCACCUUAUUACAAUUCCCGGAAAGUACCCGUGUGCCUGCAGGAUCCGGCCCCUAGGAUCCCACAGGCUGUGGGGCCAGCCAGGUUUGAGGGGGCUUCUGUGGGAGAAACUCUGGCUGUAAAUGCUACCUCUUUUUCUAGUGAGACGGGGAAACUUGUUCUCGCUUACGUGCGUGGUGCUGGGUUCCGACAAACUGGGGUGUUGAUCUGAACCUAAUACAUAGUUUGAGCAGUAGUGUACUAUUCACUGAUCAUUCCAUCACUGAUAAGAGGAAUCACUCCAGAUAUCUUUAAGCAACACCCCUCCCUCAAUGCGCUGAAAAUAUGAUGGGUUUAAUGACAAUGUGAUUCUUACAUGGCUUCCCCAGGAACUCAGUCUUUUGAAAAAGCAAGGGGCGGUGUGCUUUAACUUACAUUCAAUGUGUGGUUUCUUUUGUCUCUUGGAUAUUUAAGUUGGAGACUCAAAUGGAGACAGGAUACAUAUGAGAAACUCGGAAGGGUUUUAAAGGGCUUUGUGGGAAAAAAAAGUUUAGAGCAGUGUUACCUUUUGGGUUACAAAGUGGGGAGUGGAUCUACAGUUGUGUGUUCUUUGAUGUACGGAAGGAGGUUCUGGAAGGAAAGCAAGAGCUGAAUGCCUAGUAGAUGUUGGGGAGAAUUGGAGGGUGGGGGGAGACACCUGACUGCACCUGUCCUUGUUCCCUGGAUUGUGAGCCUUAGCAGCAUCUGCCUUUUCCUUCUUCCCUCCCCACCUGUCAGCAGGACCCAGCUCUGCCAGCCUUUGAGGACACAAGGCUUCAUAAGACACAGAUGUGUGUGUUUCCAGUGAAGGAGGCAGGCAUCGAAAGAAAAACUGGUGAUAUCAAGUGAUAAAUGCUAAACAGCCCGUGAAGGGACCCAGAGGAAGUGCUAAUUACCUGUCUAGGAGCAGAAGAGAUGUUCCGGGAGACUCUGGCUGAACCCUGGGGCACACCCACUGGGGCACACCCAUCAAGCUCCUGGCAAGCGUCGCAGGCCAGAGCGCUUUGCUACCUGGCUCUUCGCUGCUGCUGGCACAGAACCAGGACAGGAUGGCUCAGUGCUUGCGAGGACUCCACGCUGCCCGGAACGGGCAAGACACCUCAAGCGGGUGCCCUGCUGUCACUGGCAGGAUCCGAGGCAAAGAUUUAGUCACUGAAACUUGGCAGCUCCAGGCCUGGGGCAGAGAGAGUAUUUUUCAGGCUGAUGUUCAGGGCGGAUCUCUCUACUUGCAGAUGAAAUCAGUGAGAUAAUGAAUGUGAAAACACUGUGAAAAGCCACCAAACUUCUGGUACCCCAUCCUGCUGCUGUUCCCUCUUCUGUUCCGGGGCCACCAUUCCCCCAAGCUUCUUUGAUUCCUCUCCUCCUUCCGUUGUCCUCACCUCACAAUGUGGAACUUUGUUGACUCGAUUUCUGAGAGGACGUUCACAUUCAUCCCCCUCGAUGUCAUUUCUGCUGUCCCUGCCCUGGUCCAGGCCCUGGAUUUCUUGCUUAUACUAGAGUGAUAAAGUUUAUCUGUUCUACUGCCUCUUUCUCCUUUUGAAUUAUCAGCCCCGCUGCUACCAGACCAUCUUGUCAACUCAGACCAUAUUCCUGAUUAUUUUACUCUCGUCCAAAACGUUCAAAGGCGGCCAGUGGCCUACAGAGUGAUAAACUCUGAGGUCCAGUGUUCAAACCUCCCGGCUGGCCUACUUCCCUACGUUCGUAGAGAUCGUCCAGCUUUUCGCCGUUCAUGCUUUCACCCAAGCCCUGCAAUCUGCCUGGAACGCCAUCACUUUCAAAAGCCUCCUGACAAGUUGUUUUUUUUUUUUCCCCUCCAUUAUUCAAGGUGCAAAGAGGGUGGUAGAUAAAUCAUGUACGGGAUAAGAAAGGUGGGAAUGAUUAUACUUUAGAUGCAUCGAAGAAUUUUUUUUUUUUUCCUGAUCUCAUUAAUGGAUUCAUUUUGUGCAGGACACUGUGCUGGGGAUGGGGUGGAAAGGUUCACCGUGUAUGCACUUGGGCAAAGGCAUCUAGAGCUAUGAGGACUAAGGAUACGCUUUCUCUUUUGCUUCCUCAGACAAAGCCACGGUUGCAACGCCAGCACUCAUGCAAAAAUAUCUGUGGGGUGGCGGUAUCCCUUUUUGCUCUGGCUACUAGGAAGCCCAAAAGGCAAAUUUCACUCCCAAUCACAGUAUUCAUUGGCUUAUUCAAAAAUUCACACAUAACAGGUGCCAAGUAGGUAUUCAGAGCUAUGUUAGAUCCAACUACGGGGAGCAAGGCAAUACACAUAAUUUCUGCCCCCAGGAGGCCACUAUUCAUUCUUACAGUUAGCACAUCUUCAUCUCUGUUUCCUGUCCUCCUGAUUUUGGAGUUUGUUGAAUCUCUCUUUAGUUUUAUGUGAGCUGAAAUUAUUUUCGGAAGAGGAGAAAUACAGUCAGUAUAUAAAAAUAAAACUGUUCCAACGCUGUUAACGAGCUCUCCGAUUUGAUCUCUGCCUUCAUGGAUUCGAUGUUUGUUCUUUUGUUGUGGGGUCUCUCCACAGGCCAGCUGGUCAUGUCAAUGUAACUGACACAAAGUUUGAUGUGAUCAUAGCGAUCUUGUAGGGCCUUGCUCUUCUGUCUCCUCUUGUAAACUCGGGGUGACACUUAACAUUCUAUCACAAUUAAAAUAUUGUCCCCAAGUUAUUUUGGGGGAUGAUUUCCUCUUCUGUUCCCAGUGUAUAAUUUUAAUUAAAAAAAAAAAAAAAACAUAUUACAGGGCACCUGGGUGGCUCAGUCAGUUAAGCGUCUGACUUCGGCUCAGGUCAUGAUCUCACGGUUCGUGGGUUCAAGUCCCAUGUCAGGCUCUGUGCUGACAGCUCAGAGCCUGGAGCCUGCUUCUAACUCUGUGUCUCCCUCUCUCUCUCUGCCCCUCCCCCACUUGCACACUGUCUCUCUUUCUCUCUCUCUCUUAAAAAUAAACACUAAAAAAAUUAAAAGAAAAACCCUAUUACAAUACUGAUAAUACUCGUAUGUCACCUCAAAUCCUUUUUAGAAACUAGGUGGGGCAUAUUACAUAAAUAAAUUGGCAUUUGAUAAACGUGGCCUAGCCAUUGGCAGAGAUGGGAGUGUGGGGUAGGGAUGAGGGCUGUCCUCUCAGCAGCCACUCUGGUUUAAUGUACUUGGUGGGCGGAGACGCACAUGAGGCCCCUUCCUUCCCGAAAACGCCCGGAAGUAGCUGGGGUCUUUGCUACUGGGUUGGUAGAAGCCGUCUCUGCACCUGCUCAGCACAGAGGCGGCUCUCUGUGCUGUGAGGUGUCUGCCGGUGGGCCACGUUCUGAGCCGCUGAACCCCAGCACUGGGUGCCCCAGUGCUGCAGAGAGCUGUAGCCAGGCCUCCAAGGGCUCCACCAGACGUUGUGUUCAGGGGCUUCUGCCUAAAUCCACUGACACAUUCGCUACAUAGCAACUGCGGUGUGGUGGGCAUAGGAGUCAGUGAAGCAGGCUCAGGAUUUCAGCAGACCUCACGUCUUCCAGAUCUCUCUCUGUGCUGGUGCCUGGGGAGUUCACUCCUCGUGACCGUGACCGCUCCCCCUUCCCAUUGUUGCCAGGCUCCCGGUAUUCGGUGCGAAGUAUCACAUGUAGAUGUCAAAGAUGGGGCUUGUCAGGGCCCACAGGUGAGAAGCUUGUGCAGGAAGCCUGCCAUCUGGGGACUUGUUACCGAGCACGUGGGGUUUUUUUCCGAGAGACAUCCCUCCUCAGGUUGGAGGUUGAAUCACGAGCCAGAUUCCCCCUGAACCUCACUCAGCGCCAAAGGUGGUCUUCGAUUCAGUUCAGCUCCGUUUAAUUCAAGGCAUGUUCUCUGGACACUUGUGCCCAAAUGCGAGGUCCUGGGGCCACACAGCAAAGUACAACGUGGCUCUACAGGUGCCUGUUGUCUGAUGGUGAGGUUGGCGGUGACAAGGAUGGUGAUAACAGCUCCUAGACCUCCUACUGGGUGCCUGUUCCCAUAGUAGAUAAAGACACUGGAACAGGGAGGAGUUGACGGACCUAAGCUUUAACAGUUUACAAAUGUCGCAGCUAGGGGGCGCCAGGGUGGCUGUUGGUGAAGCAUCCCCGGUUUCAGCUCAGGUCAUGAUUUCAUGGUUCAUGGGUUCGAGCCCCAUAUCCGGCUCUGCGCUGACAGCUCGGAGCCUGCUUGGGAUUUUCUCUCUCUCUCCCUCUCUCUCUGCCCCUCCCCUACUUGCGCUUGCUUUCUCCCUCCCUCUCCCCCUCUCAAAAUAAAUAAGCUAAAAAAAAAAAAGAAACAUGUCACAGCUGGGAUUUGAACUCACACCUUGCUGUUUCUCAAGCCAGGCAUGUUCUUUCUAGCACACCCAGUUAUGCCAUGGGGUGGACUAAAACUUAAGAGCACUCUCUGUUUAGUCAACAAACAUUCGCUGGGGCUUUGGCUCAUGGAAUGCAUGGUGCUGGGCACAGGAGAAACACAGAUGAGUCUGACCUGGGUCCUUCUCUGAAGGACCACACAGUCCAACAGGGAGAUGGACUGGGCCACGUAAAGGAUUCUAGACAAGAUCCAAAGAAUGCGGGGUCGUAAAUGGUGCCUUUGUUAGCUGACUCCCCUCCCAUUCCAGCAGCUGGUUUGGGAUGGCCUCCGCCCCAGAAAGUUCCGAGGCACCCGGUACCCCGGUUCCUGAACGUGAGUGCGGGACCAGGGGGAGUCCUGGGGAAAGAGUCCAGGGGUCAGCAGAGUUCGCAGCCCCAGUGCCCCCCACCGCCCUGUCUCUGGCCGCCUCCCCCAGAAGACGGCCUUCUCUGUCUAGGCAGCAAUGUGUCUGCUUUUCUUCCUCUCGCUGGAAACACACUUUGACAUUUUUUAACAAAUAACACAAUUUUCCCUUUGUGUUUCCCUUAAUAAGACACAGGAAUGAGAGCAAGAAAAGGAAAGUAAAAAAACGUGUUCCUGUCAUCUCCACUCUGCACCAGGACGUCCUUCCUCCCGCGCUGUCUCCCUCCCACUGCGCCGCGAGGUAGCCCCCGCCUCCCCUGUCCUCACUCCUCUCCCCAAACCCCAGCCACCAGCGGUUCAUGAGUCUGGGGGUGGUGCUUCUGUGUUUCCGGCCGAAGGAAGGGGAGCUCCACGGUCAGUCUGCCUGUCUCACCCCAUCUUCUACACAUUGCUACUUGGCUGAGGACAGCUUCCCGACCAGACUGGCCAGGGCCCUGCAUUUCCCCCGCUCAAAGCAAAGUACUAGGCUUAAGACACAGUCCCUGGAUCUCUUGGAAUCUGCUUGAAGUUGCAAGAUUCCUGAUGUUUGGAACAGCUGCCUAUCUCUCAACGGGGAUAAAUGUUACGUUUCCACACUUGGGGCCAAACACCAAUCGUACAAUUUGCAGUUUGGGGGAGAUGUGGCCUACCAGCAGCUUGCGUGGAAGAGGACUGAGGAGGUUUUGUUAAUAACGUACGCGGUCUGAGUCAACGGCGGCCACUGAAAAGGCUAACGCCAAAUCAGGCCGCGUCAACGGGUAUUUUAUGGCCACAGGAAGGAGAGGAGGCCCUGAAGCCACGGUCACUGCAAAGCUGCAACAGGUCUGGAGAGAGAGAGACUGGAGUAGGUUCAGAAACAAAGUGAAUAGGACAGAGCAGGCAGCUCUUCGAGGUAGAAUUUGACAUCACGAAGGGCCAAGCCCCAAGCAGUCAAUGGACCAGAUGUGGCUGGCUAGGGAAAUGAAUUUGGACCGGAUAUAAACUUAACACUUGGACCAGAUGAGCUUGAAGGUCACUUCCACCUUUAAAAGUCAGUAGUUUGGGGUGUCUCUUCUAAAGCCCGAUUACGUCCUUUCCACAACCACUCAGAACACAAUAUUUCUGAUGAAAGGGACAAUAUGGCUGGUUCUUCAUAAAGAGCUUUUGGACAGUGGCUUUGUGGCAUCUUCUGUCAUCAGAAAGGUGAAAUGAUAGCAUUUGAGUUUAAAAUGAAAAACCAUGUGGCAUGGUCAGGAGAAUCUGUCAGGGGAAAGCUGCCUGUCUACCUACCCACCAUGUCACUGAGCUGGCCCAGGCCAUUGUGAAAUGAUAAUGGGGCAGGGGCGGGAUUCAUUGAGCGAGGUAAAAUAAAGCAUAAAAGAGAAAACCCCAAAUAAACAAGGUAUAUCUUUAAUGCUUUGGACACUUAGCUACCUCAGCGUCUACACCUGGACACAUUCUGCAAAACAUAUGAUGAGGAGCUGUUCUACAGCCCACCCCAUUGUCCACAGUCAGUGUGGUUGCACAGACUUCAGACGGUGAAGGCCUCUCAGACCAUUGCAUAUGGCGCCUUCGUCGCAGAGAGGAAGUACAGUCGCGCAGGGAGGUGAACGUGGCCCAGCUGAGCUGGGAAAUGGAAGUGAGGUCCCUGGAUUCCUGACCCCCAUGUGCCUUCACCUUUCCUCGCUCCCCCCACACAGCGAGCAUGGCACUCAUCCAUCAGUGAAGUAAAUGGCAUCUGUUAAUCACAUGUAUGUGCUGGGCUUUGCGCUACAGCUUGUAAUGUGAUUAUGACACACAGUCUCCAUUGGGAAGGUACCCAGGAGCCCAAGAGUUGGGGAAACACGUUCCUACUGAACGUUUGUGAGCGAUCUGUACCCAUCACGCUGCCUGCCUUCCAGAGAUGCAAAGACCAUUUGAGGGAUUUGGGUCCCGGGUCAGAUGGGACCCCACACACUUUCAGGAUAUUCUCUAAAAGGAAUAUUCUUACCACUAGUUAAACAUAUGUCAUGCACUCAAGACCUUUAGCGAAAGCAAAGUUCGGUUGGGCAUUUAAAACUAUUCCCUAUGACUGUAUUUGCCCGACUCCAUUUUUUUUUUCCUUGCCUGACUUCUAUUUUAUACAUUAUCCUAAGGAUACUUGUAAUCCAUAUUAUUUUCCCACAGUCUGCCGGGGGUGGCAGAGAGGACAAAGGACAGGUGUCGGGGGCAUGCCCCUAGCCAUCUGGGCAACAUCAGAGAAAUCUCCCAGCCCUACUAAGCCGCAAAGAUUCGUCAGAAACAGUGGCUAAAACUGUGUUCUGCCUACCCCACAGGUUUGUUGUAAAGACCAAGCAAAAUCCUGUAGGGUGAAAGUAUCCUGGAAAGUCUAAAGCAGCAUUCAGAUGUAAAGUAUUAAACUCUCUGCCCUUUUCCCUUGUUUCCCUGAAGUCACAUUCAGUGUUUGGCUUGGGUCUGCUGGCAGAAAGCACUUACAAUGGCGAAUGGGGUCAAGGCUUCCGAGCACAUCCGAACAAGAGCUGCCAACACUAUUUCUUGAAAAAUAAGGAAGUGGUCCCGUCCUUGGAGAAGGGAAUAGAGAGCGCUUGCAAUGUGGCAUCUCGCCUGCUCCCAGUUCACUGUGCCAAAGCGCCUGGCAAGUCCAAUCUAGUUCCCUUCGGCCCAGGAAUUGAGGGGGCCCCCAGAGGAUCCCGCGAACUGACCGUGCGUGGGGGGACUUACUCUGUGCUAUUUUCCUCACCUGUGAUAUUGGGAUAACCAUUGUCUCCCCCCCCCCCAUAGGGGCUGCUGUAAAGAUUCAACGAGUUAACUGUGCGACCAAACCCGGCACGAAAUAAAA